rnacentral:rRNA from 1 species
GUCUACGGCCAUGCCACCCUAAACAAGCCUAGUCACAUCUGAUCUCGGAAACUGAGCAGGGUCAGGCCUGGUUAAUACUUGGACGGGAGACCACUUAGGAAGACCAGGUGCUGUAGGCA